AAUUUUUGUUAUUAGCAUUCACAAUAUGACAUAGAGAUUUCGUUCGUUACAAGUACUCGUAGAGAUUUCGUCACAGAAUAUAUAGUAUGUAUUUAGUAGGAUCGAAACAUCAAAGCAAGAAACAUUCCAUGUGUCUGCAGAGAAGGCUACAAAAUGAGAUCGCUGCUGGCCUCAGCGAAAGCGAGGAUGCGAUACUAACGUAGAGUGCAAACCCAAGCACUUUGACUUGGGCACAUGUUGUGCCAACUCAGCGAAAAUGCAAGCUCAUAUCAUCAAAAGGAGGAGAGGCAAGGAAGCGAGAUUAAGCCCUUGUUCGACAGCUGGCAACGUAUAUCAUACGUAAUACACGUACGAGAAUAGCAGAGAGAGCAAUGUGUAGGAAGUACAUUUAGAAAGAACUCUACAUUUAUUAAAAUGUUCUAUAUACAACGAUGGAGGGUGGCGGUGAAGAAGACGAGAAGGAGAGGAGAGGGAAAGCAGAGCAAGGGUGGGGCGACGAAGCUGCCGAUGGGAUGGGGAGCUAUGAGGGCGAAGUUAUCCAAUUAUUGUCUAACCUGGGAGCAACUUUACUUGGCGGAGAACCGUUGGUGGGAGGAAAGCUCGUCCUGCCAGCUCUCUCCCUUCCUACAAUCGAGCCACGAUAAAGUAAAGUUUGUUUCAAAACUUGCCGCGCGGAGAGGUGACUAGGUUUUUGUUAGUGACACGUGAAAUUCAAACGACUUCAUUGCGAUAAUAAUCGCGCAAGUUUUUAAUAUCGACCGAUGAAGAGAAGAAAAUUCAGAUUCGAAAAGGAUUCCAUAAAUUAACUCAAAAUGAUUCAUUAAUGAUUAUAAUAAAACUUUUUCAAGUUUUUUUUGUGAAAUGACAUUAUAAUGUUAUUAAAAAAAUAACAUUAUUGUCUAUAUUUGAUUACAUAUAAUUGAUUACAUAUAAGAGAAAUAACUUUCAAAUAAUUAAAAAUUAUAUUAUUCUCAAUAUAUAAAUUUAAUUAUAUUAAAAGUUAUAUUAUACAUUUAUUAAUUUUUUAUUCUUUAAUAUUUUAGUAGAUUAAUAUAAUAAAUAUUUGUCAAUAAAUGUUAUUAUUGAUAAAGAAUUAAUUAGAAUCAAAUCAUUUUAAUUCAACAAAAUCUUCAUUAUUUAAAAUAUGAUAUUCGGAAUAUUCAUUGAUAAUAAACUAGAAAUAAAUAAGCUUAUUAGGAAAGUGCACUAUAUACACAAUAAUAAUACAUAUGACAUCGUGAAAACCUUUUUAAAGUGAUGUAUUGUUAGCAUCAACAAAUACAUAUUCUAGGUCAAUUUUAGAUACGAAUCAUGCCAUUAUUUUAAUUAAAAAACUUAAAAGUAUAUUUCAAUUAUUUUUAUGUUUUUGAAUUUAUUUAAUAUAUUAAAUAUAAUCAUUCAAAUAUAAAUUUAUUUAUAAAUAAAUAAAUAUAAAUAAAAAUAAAUCAUGACAUAUUUCAUUUAAAUAAUUUAACAUAUAUGUCGAAAAAUUAAUAAUAAAUUUGUAUUAAAAUUUUAUUUUAUUAAAAAAAUUUAAUUAUAUUUUUAAAAUACGUUUAAUUGCAUAAAAUAAAAAUAAAUUUUCACAUUAUAAAAAAAUCUUGUAUGAAACAUUAACAAAUAAAACCGAAACAAAAGAUAUAUCCAAAUAAAAAUUAAAUAUUGAAAAAAAUUCAUGAAAUUAGAAAGAUAAAAAAUGUCAUAGUAACGUUAAAAUAUCCGCAAAUCACCAAACAAUAUACAUUUUAUAAAAGAAAAAAAAAUCUUCUGUAAUGCAAAAUAAACAUAUGCUUAAAUAAAUAUCUGUAUUUAAAAGAAAUGAGAAAAAAAGAACGAAAAAUUGAAAAUGUAAAGAAACAAACAAAAAUAAAAAAUAAAAUAAAACAAAACAAAUAAAAAAAAAAUCUGUCAAGUACUAAAAUGAAGAAAGGAGCAGAAGAAACUUGUCCAAUUAUAAUGACGAGUAUCAGUGUCGGCGUUCGGGCAUUCUCAUCCUUGGGUACAACGGAAUGAUCGGAAAGGGGAGAGAGGGGCUGUUGCUCUGGUACCUUCCGCCUCCGCGUUCGUCUUUCCAGCGGGUAACGAGCGAACGGCCAUGAGUGAAGCAAGGGAAGGAGGGAGAAAAGGGAGUAGGAGAAGAGGAGAGGCGACUACUUAAAGUUGGCGGAAAGUUUGGUUCGGCAGCAAAGUUAACUCAGUUAAGUUCCCCGCUCCUAAAGCGAAACUUCGGUUCUCCAACGCCUGCCCUGCCAGCCUGCCUCUGCCUGCUUACUUUCCGUCUUCUCUUCUUCCUUCAUUUCAUACCUUGCUUUCUAAUAUCUAUCCUCUCUUCUUUCUAUAUCCAUUCCUCUAGUGUUGCACGAAUAAGCAAUGUGUUUUGGAAUUAUUACUUUUCUGUAAACUUUCGCCACGAUGUUUCGCCGUGGCGAUCGAUUGGCAUCGACCCGACCGGUGUCACUCUCGUUUACUUGUCAUUUACGUGCUACUUUCCGUACAUCGAUCAUAUCAAUUUGUGACCUAACCAGAUCCGAAACGAAGCAUUUUGCAAUCAGAAUGAAAAGUUUUAAAGUAUUAUAAACGGAUAUGGAAAAGAAAAAUACUUUUUUUUUUUAACUUAAGCAAAUUAAAUCGAAAAAAAUUUCGGAAUUUUAUGUAUUUAUUCUCAAGAAUGAUUCUUUAGAAUCUCUUAAAAACAUUUAUAUAAAUUCUUAAAUUCUUAAAUUUUAUUAAAUAAUUAUAAAGUUUGAAAUAUCAAAUAAUGAUAUGAUUAAGAAAAUUUUAUGUAACAAUAAAGAUAUAAUUUAUAUUAUAUAUAUAAAUAAUUAAAAUUUAAUUUUUUUAUUUAAAUAAGAAGCUAUAGUAUAAAAAUUAAUAUGAAAAUAUUAAAAAUUUUUGAAUAAUAUGAAUAAUUUUUUUAGACGAAUAUUCCAAGAAAAAAUAUUGCACGAAAAUUCAAGGUCAAUAAUAUAUGACUUACGAUGUUUUUUAAUUACCUAUAAAUUUAAAAAAUUUUUAAAAUAUAAUAAAAAAUUAUAUUAGUUGUAAAAUGAUAAAAAGUAAAAGUGAUUCAGAAACAGCUAGGUGAAGUCUGUAAACUUGGAUAAGAUGUUUCAGGAAGAAAGAUGUUUCUCCCACUUCCCAGAGAACUGUUCCCCUUCCCGUUCUGUGUAGCAGCCAACGAUCGAAAUUCCAAGACGAAGUUUGCGAGAUUCCAAGGAAAGCGUGAGUUUCGCUGGUGUUCAUCGUUACCCUUCUUCGAACGUGUACAUGUAUAGAAGCUUGUAAGCAUCGUUUUGUAACAGACACCAGUCAGCAUGGUCGAGUACUGUCCCUCCUUUGAUGGUACGCCAGAGCAAAAAAAGAAACCGGUCGAGUCGGUACUUACGAAGAGGUUUAGCUUUCAGGGUUCGCGUAUGUAGUUCGAAAAGAAGUUACAACCGUUCUCCCAACAAAGUCAAAGAACUUUGUUGUAUGGUUUUCUUUGAACAACAUUCAAAUAUAACCAAAAAACAAGUUUUAUACUUAACUGGUUUAAUUGAAAUUAUAAAAGGCUUUGUUAAUUGUGCAAAUUUUUUUUUUGGGAUCAUUUAUAUCAUUAUUAUUGGAAAUUUUACAAAUUAAACGUUACUAUUAAUAAUAACAAAAAAUAACUUGCAUAAUAUAGUAAUAAUAAAUAUAGUGAUAAAUUGAAUAAAGUUAUACAAGAGAAUUUUAUAAAUUGUGUUGCAUAAACUGUUAUAAAAACUGUGCAUAUAUAAUAAAAAGUUUAUGAUUUAUAAUUUGUUAAUUUAUUAAUGUUACUAAUUAAAAAGUUUUUAUUUUUUAUUUAAUUCUAGAAAGUGGAAAAUUAUUGAAAAAAUUAUUAAGUAUUACAUUGCCAUAUAAUUUUUUUUAACUACUUUAACUACUUGUGUAAAUGUAAAACGUAAAUAUUAAUUUAUUUAUAUGAUAAUAUAAAUUUUGAUAAACAUAUAAUUAGGUGUCUUAAUCUUUGAGUAAAUAGAUAAUAUGCUUGAAAAUUGUAAAAUUCACAGUAUGAUUCAUUAAAUACAAGAUAAUACUUCGCAUAUUAUAUCUAUUGCGUUAAAGAAAAUAUAUACAAUAUAUGUUUACAUGUAAAUAAGUUGUGGAAAAUUUUCGAAAUGAAUUUUUUGUUUCAAUACACAUUAAAUUAAUUAAUUUUUUUAUUAUAAAUCCUUAAUUGAAAUCCUUAUUAUAAUAAUUUAUGUUAAUAUUAAUAAAUAAAUUAUUGAAAAUAUAAAAAA